AGACACAUAGGAGAAUAUCGACCUAGUGUGAUGGUCAUUGGCUUUAAAGGUCACCUAAAGGAUAUCGUCGAUGCGUAAGGGAAUCCUCUUGCAAGGCACUACUUAUGAAGUUUCGAAAUUGUUGACAUCGCUGGAAUGGCAGCUCGAAACCUGGUUGUCACGUGUGCAAUGGUACACAGCCUGCAAUUUGGAUUUUAGAAAAAGACGGAAUAAUAACUUAUCCUACAAUGGCUCAGGAUGCUGAUGCCAGCGUGUUAACUUGUGGACGUCAAUCAGAUUUGUAUCAAAACUUCUUUUUUAUUCCUAUUUUGGUUCCUUUUAAAGGAAGAUAUUUACACUGCAUUUUAGCAACCACAUAGUUUUAAUGAUUCCCAGCCCCCCACCCCCCAUCAAUGUUUUUUUUUCAGGGGCUACUAUUAACAUCUUACUGCCUAAAUAGACCAGCUUAGCCGGGGUAAUAAAGGAGCACGUUGAGCACCUAGCAAGGUGGAUACGUGCACUAUACAAAUCCUAUAUUAUUAUUAUUAAAUGUGCAUUAUUGGUAAGCUUUAGGAUUGCAAUGAAUAGUGAUUUUCCAGUGCUCCGUUUUGAGUUUCGGGACUUUUGAGCAUUUCAAGGGCGAAAUCGCCCCUAGCCCCCAUGUUAUUUUUCUCCCUGCCACCCCCUACCUCCCCUCCACUACAAGUUUUCCUCCAACUUUCUCUCUCUUUCCGUUCUGCUCGUAUGCAUACUUUUUUUCUUCUGUCUUGUCCUUUCUUCACUUCCAUUUGUGACCUGCCACCCCAAAACCAACAAUAAGUCGACCCAAAUGAGUAUUGGGAUGUUUAUCGGGCUUGAAAAUUCAUUUCCUAAGCUUUAAAAUGAUACAUGAUAUGUUAAAAUUGACCAACAAUAACCAUUAGAAAGUACUUGAUUGAACGCAGAGGAAAUUCAGCAAGAACUUAAAAAAAAUAAGGAGAAAACAAGGUUUGAAGUUUGGGGUUCACUCAAGCAUGAGAUGUGCAUACUAUAUUGCUUCUUUCCCUCCCCUUCUCUAUCUCAUCUUUACUUUCCCAGUAACUUAAAAUAGAAAACUCCCAACAAAUAAGUAUAACGGGGGAGCAAGAUUGCCUGAACCAGGGCAUAACGUUACCUACUUUUCUCUCCAUAUUAUCAUGAACUUUGGAUGCCCCCAGUCUCUUUCCUCCAGACCUUCCUCCUCGGCGGCUAUCGGCGCUUGUGUUUUUGUCGUUCCCAAACACGUGCAUCGGACGCGGCCCAACUCCCCGCGUCACAGACCGGGCAAGAAAACAAGAGUUACCGUGGCAACACAAUUUAAUCGCAAUCGGCUCACCUCACGUAGCCUGCCCCCUUCCUUCCUCAAAUUUGUCUGAUUGCUUGCCAAUGUUUCCUGCUAGCUCUCCCUUGCUUCCUCAUCUUUUAUCUCUUUCUUUAUCUUUCUCUUUCCAUCUCAUGUUUUCUUUUUAACCUCUUUCUUUGGCAACAGAAUUGCUUCCCUUUGCCUUGACAUCAUUACUUUUCUUAAUUUCAUUCCGUUCAUCAAGAAAUAUAUUUAUUUUCCAUUCGCUGUCGUUUACUUUCUCCUGUUCCCUUUUUCAAAUGAUUUGAUGAACUCUUAUCUUUAUAUGCAAUACUCCCUCAUUUGGAGGGGGGGGUGGGAAAUGGGGAUGGUCAACAUUCUUGUCUGCCCCCCUCACCUGCAUUUGUCAGUCUAUAUUUUUCUUCCUUAUCUCCCUCCUUCCUCCCUCUCCUCCACUCUUCUUUCUUCCUCCCUCCCCUCUCCCUUCCCUCUCCCUUCCCUCCCCUCCCCUCUCCUCUUCCCUUCUUCCCCCCUCCCUUCCCUCUUCCUUCUUCCCCUCCCCUCUUCCUUCUUCCCCCUCCCCUCCCCUCUUCCUUCUUCCCCCUCCCCUCUCCUCUUCCCUUCUUCCCCCCUCCCUUCCCUCUUCCAUCUUCCCCUCCCCUCUUCCUUCUUCCCCUUCCCCUCUCCUCUCCCUUCUCUCCCUUCUCCCCCCUCCCCUCUUCCUUCCUCCCCUCUCCCGCCCUCCCCUCUCCCGCCAACUCUCCUCCUUUCCUCCCCUCUCUCUCCUCCCCUCUCUCUCCCCUCUCUCCUUUCCUCCCCUCUCCUUUCCUCCCCUCUCCUUUCCUCCCCUCUCUCCUUUCCCUCUCCCCUCUCUCCUUCCCCUCUCUCCUCCUUCCCUUCCCCUCCACUUCUCCUUACCUCCCCCUUUUCCCCUGCUCCCCCUCACACAAUUUUACACAUUUAAUUUUCAUGGGCAUUCCAAAUCAGACACCUGCAAACCAAUACGAAUACUAAACUUUUUGAAACAUGAUCUUAAUGAAGUAAACCUUCAUAUUUGAUGUUUUUAAAUUGCAUUAUUUGCACCAUACCUUGAUUUGUAAGAUGCAUGAAUAUACCAUCACAAUUUUUGUGAGAUCAUGACCAAUUCUGUUUAGCUAUCAUGCCUCGAUGAUGUAAUCAAGGGGCAAGGUUGUGACCAGGGAACUCUUUUGAGUAUGGCAAAUUUUUAUUAAUUUCCAUUGUCACACGCAAAACGGCCGAUCCCUUUGAGGCAGGUGCUAUAGCCUUCCUGUCUCGCUGAAAUUAAUUGUAGACGGCCUCACCUCUCUCUCAGUGGGACAAAUGACGGAAAGAGAGAAAUCAAGAUAUGAAUGUCUCUGCUUCCUCUCGCACCUGUCUCUCGGGGGACAAGAAGGGGGCCCUUGACCUUGAGCUAACCAGUUUCGGUCUCGCUUGUUUACGAAUCCGAUAACAAGGGCUGCGAUUCCGAUCAGACAUCCGGGAUAGAUGUAAUCGGCGUUGCGUAAAUUAAAACCAUGACCACGUCUAUUCCCCCGACCAGUUUUGUGAUUCAUAUAAUUCCUGCCUCGGAGAGAGGCCUGUCAAACCCAUUGUCUGAAGCAGGUCCCCCCUUCGCCUCCCUCCAGCAAUUUUGUAUUAAAAAAUGCUUGUUAUUUUUAUGGAUUUCCCCCUUUUUUGCCUCCUUGAACAUUUGAACUUUAAGGCCUUCCCUACCUAGUUACAAUGCUAUUUCAUACCUCCCACUUUUCACCCAUUUUGUAUUUGAUCUAAAUAAUUUCUAAGAUAAUACCUUACUUGCAAGGUAUAUAGACAAGUCUUGAUUUUUCUCUCAUUUGUUUAUUUCACUUUAUUCAUUAUACAAUUUUUAUGUGGUUUUUUUUCAUAUUGUUUUUUUAUUAUAUUUUCAUUUUAUUUCAUUUUUUUUUGGGGGGGUGAAUGCGCGCUUAUUUUGGUCUCUUGUUAACGUUUUUGGCAGUCUGUUUUAUUUAAUUAUAUAUGAUUUGAGCUUAGUAAAAUUUACACAUAUAAAAAAAGUGCAAAGAAACUUUCAAAAGAAAAUAAGAAAAACGUCUAAUUUUACCUAUGCUAUAAGAGGCAAUUAUUGAUUUGAAUAUGUUUUAGGGCUCAACAUGGAAAAUUAACCAUAAUUUGUCAAGUAUAUGACCUAAGUAUUUUUAAUGUUUCUUAAAUAUUAUCUGUAAGGGGCCCACUAUAUUUCUAUAUAUAUGUAUCGCUCUAUUUUGUAUUCAUAUUUAUUUAUGUAAUUGAUUUGUAACUUUGUGUUUCACUGUAAUUGUCCAUAAAAGUGGAUUUUGAUCAAUAAAUUUUGAAACUUAAAACAUGUUUUUUUCUUCCCCAGGAUCAUCAUAUCUAUCGCCAUAACCUGAUGAGGUUGGUAUAUCAUCUUAGCUCAUUUCACCAGUUACAACUCUGACUGUAUUGUGUCUACAUUCUGGCUGAAGUGAUCAGGACUGGUAUCUUUUAACAGUGACUGGUGAUCCCAUCUCUACACCUGAACCUGUUGAUGGUUCCAUGUGGUUGCAUUGGAAGACUGGUGAAUUAUGCGAACAGUUCAUACUCUCUUCCUAAUCAGGUGGUAUAGGUUAUGAAAAGUCCUGUUCAGACUUGUGGUAGCAAAGUUCACCAACGUUUUAAUCCUGUUCUCAUAUGCCAAGAAAAAUCUGCUGACGUCUGUUGACAAGCGGGCAUUUCUUCAUCAAUUAUCCUAUGGAAAUAAUGUGCGAACUAACUCAUGAUGCUGUAAUUAUUUUUGUUUUUCUACGAUCUUGUGAGUUGGGUUAUUUAGAUUCAUCUUUUGAGAAUGAUUAUCGGUUAUGUAAAAUUUGAUUGUCCAAAGAAAUUUGCAGCCAGGCAACCAACAAAUUAAAAGAGCCUCCUGCCUUUCAGCAUCUUUUGACCCCUCACACCACAUUGACUUUGUACACUAAAUGUUGCUAAGCUUUUGCUGUUACUGUCUGAACAAGUCUUGAUGAAAAAAAAAAGAUAUCCACAACUGCAUCUGCUACCAAAUGAUAGUCAUUCUUGUGGCUAGUCCAUGGGUGACUAGUAAAAGACUGGUUUAACUGAAUGGUCCUUACGUGAGGUAGUAGGUUAUAUAGUUUUGGAGAUACACUCAAUGGCGAUAGCUAUACAGCCUGCUAGCUUUCCUUGGGCCAUUCACUAAUCUUCAGAGCGGCAAAAGUGUCUUUGAUGCUUUCAGGUUGAACUGUGAUUAUUCACAAGUCCUUUGUGCCUUAAGCAACACAUCCCCAUUCAUUUCUCUUAAGCACUCUCUUUCGUUCAUACUUUUGUUCCUUCGUUGGUUCUUUAUUUUUCUCUCCUCUCCCCUCUCUUUCUCCUUCCUCUCUCUUUCUCUCUUCAUUCACUCUUUCUACUUUCCGAUCUUUGUUCAUUUCUCUCCUACUCUGUAACUUAUUCUAUAAUCUUGUAUUCUCUUUUUUUAAAGGCUUGGUCCACUUAGUUUACCCAUCUUCAUAGUUUGCCCAUCUCCGGAAAUUUUUUCUUGUUUUCAUGAGCUCUAUCCCCUAGAUCUUCCCCUAUUUUGUACAUCUAUUAAAUUUCAUCCCUUACCCCUUUUGUAUCAUGGACCCAUUCCCCAAUGAUAUGAAUUCAAAACCAUGGUCAUUUGUUCCUGCUUUUUUAUUGCGGUCCGUUUUGUAGAUUUUGAGAUUUUUCUCAAAAUUCUCAACCUGCUCUGAUCCCUCCCCUGCUCUGCUCCCUCUUUCCAGAAAGAAAUACACCUUCAUUGUUUAGGUCCAUCUUUCUUGUAAAUACUCCCUUUUUUUAGAAGUUCCAUGGCUUAUUUAUUCUUUGCCAUGGAAACCUUCGGAAGUUAAACACUCCUAAGUUUCUGAAUUUUUUCCUUUCUUUCUACAGCUUUUCUCAUCUUAGUCUGUCCUAUAUCUCUAUCCCCUUCCAGAUCCGCCCCCCCCCCCCCUUGGAAAAGAAAGAAUAAUGCUUCAAAGCUCUGAAUGUCUUCCCAUCUUAUAAACACUCCCAUUUUCUUAAAAAAAAUUUUUUCUUCAUUCCACCUCUUUUCCUGUAUAUAUCUUCAUAUCUCAUCUUUCCUCAUACCCUUCCAUCUUCCUUCUUGCCCCCUAUUUUUCAGAAAUAAAGUGGACAUCCACCCGAAUCCCUGAGACCCUAACUUGUGAUGUGCUUCUCAAAUCACACAGGUUAGUUUCUCAGGAAUUUGGUAGGUGUGUCAAAUCAACGAUAUUAUUUCUUUACGUAACAUAAGUAAUGUAAGUACAUACUAAUGAAUAGAAAUUUGGGGGCUUUGGGUUUGCUUUUUUGCAUAGGAAUGUAAAAAUGAUAAAAAGUAAUUAGAUAAGUAAUUAAGAAAAAUAAAAAGUAAUGACAAUACAGAAAUGUCAAACAAAUGAACACAUUCAGCAUUGCGCAUAAAUUAUGUUGUUCUUUGGAUGUUGCAUUUAUGAUGAAUCAUUUAAUGACUAGAAUAAUGUUACGGGGCUGUUAAAAACCCAUAUCUUAUAAUGUAAAUAAUUUUAGGACAACCCUGUGAAAGCUUAAUUUCAGAGUUGUGACACAAGUGGAAGCCUUUUGUUUUGCCUAGAAAGAGUUUCUACUGGAAUUUGCCAAUUUUCAGACCUUUUAAGGUUGCCACCAAUGUCAUAUUUCUAGAAUACAGCUUUUUCUGAGCUGCCUCAAAAUUAUUGAAUUGGAGAAAGGUUUUAACAUUCCAGGGGCCUGUCGCAGAUAGAGUUGCAUUUCAUCACAACUCAAAAAUAAAGUCGCAAGUCCAUAAUACAUGCUUUUGAUUGGUUGAAAGUUAAGUUGCGUUUAAUUGUAAAUCUUUCUGUAACAGACCCUAACAGUGAUGAUUUGGUUUCAAUAUGAAUAUGGCAUAUUUUCAUGUCGGUGCAAGAACGCCCUUAACACCACAUUUGUGCACAUAGCAUGCAGAAACACUCCCUUUACCAGCAUGCAUAAGUGAAUUGCGUAAGGGCGUUUCUGCACCAAUGCAGUGCGCGAAAAAUGACUAGCUAAGCGCGUUCUUGCAUUGACAAAGCAAUUUGUGCAAAUCGCCUCUUAAAACCGAUUUCAUCAGGAAAUCAAAUUUAUCAUGUAGUUAUUACCUAUGUAGUAAGUUUUUAUUGAGGUGUUCCUCGAAUCUCCAUUUGUUUCAGUUUCAAGUGUAGUGUUGUAUUCAUUAACAAGCUGAGGUAUUUAUGUUUUAUUAAUUGGUUUACUUGAUGACAAUGUCUAGCCUAUGCCAAUGACGUGACUUUCCCCACACACAGCUGCGAGGGCUGAAGGGUUACGCUCAUCCUCUAUCGCCAGUAGCUUAGCUCGUGACUUCGAGGUAGUCUUAAUUCUGGUAUAGAUAUGAGAGGUUUGACGAUGGGAGAUUGCCAAGUCUCCAAAUUCCCUCAAACUCAAGCAAAAUUCUGAAGAAAAACUAUGAAAUUUAUGAGAAAUGAAACCCAACACUUAAACCAGACUGGUCUUGGAUCAAAAACUAGCAAUUGUUCAUGUGGCCGAUCUUGAUUUUUAAUCAUUCAAAUUAACAGUGUAAUCAACGGAUAUUUUUGCUGCAGGGGUCUUGUGAAAUACAAAACUUAAAUGAACCACGAGAGAUUAAAAUCUCAUAGAUCAGUCAAAUUUUGAAAACAAAUGAUAUAGAAUAAACCUUUCUUACAAUGUCGCUGAAUUUAGGAUUUCAUGGAAUGUUUUACACAGAAAAUAAAAUGAAAAAGGAAUGUAUUUAUUUUAUUAAGGAUCUUCUAAAAUGAUAUAAUUAUGGGUUUCUGCCACCCUAACUACACAUUUUUCACUGCUAUUGAGACCGUUCUAGUGAAAGCACUCCCCUUUUCACUCAAAUUAUUUGGAGAACAGUUGUUGAGAAAUUUACCAGAAUUGAAAGACUACCUUGAAAUGUGUGAACCUCAUAUUGCCAGCAAUGUGUGUGGAUUGCCACGGUCAUCUUGGCUGUAGCAGAAUGUGCGGGCAGACUUCGUCGUCAUUUAGGCCGUAUCGUACAAGCAACGUUGUAUACCACUCAUUUUGGAAGCCACUUGCUAAACGUUAGAAAAUGUUGUAGUGUGCAGUUUACCUAUUGUCUGUCAGGUAAUUGUAAACUGUUGUAAGCCAAGCAACACAUUUUGCUGUUUUGCUCGUGCCUUUAUAUGGAAAUUAUUUACCUUUUUUACCCAUGUUUUUUUUUCCUGGAAUGAAUAAAUCUGUUACAUUUAUCA